rnacentral:rRNA from 1 species
UACGAAGGGGGCUAGCGUUGUUCGGAUUUACUGGGCGUAAAGCGCACGUAGGCGGACUUUUAAGUCAGGGGUGAAAUCCCGGGGCUCAACCCCGGAACUGCCUUUGAUACUGGAGAGCUCGAGUCCGGGAGAGGUGAGUGGAACUGCGAGUGUAGAGGUGAAAUUCGUAGAUAUUCGCAAGAACACCAGUGGCGAAGGCGGCUCACUGGCCCGGUACUGACGCUGAGGUGCGAAAGCGUGGGGAGCAAACAGG